AUGUUAUUUUUGUUUGUUGAAAUUUCAGGGGUGGAAUCAAUUGCAAUGGAAAUGAAAGACAAGAAACUAACUGUGAUCGGAGAUAUUGAUCCAAUAAAAAUAGCGGCCAAACUCAGGAAGCUCUGUCACACGGAGAUAUUGACAGUUGGACCUGCCAAAGAACCCGAGAAGAAGAAAGAAGAGCCAAAGAAAGACGACGGUAAAAAAGAAGAGGCAAAGAAAGAUGACGGUAAAAAGAAAGAAGAAGCUGUAAAAGCUGCUGUAGUGGCAUACCCUGGUUUUCAACAGGGUUAUUAUGCUCCCCAGCAAAUGUACCCAGCCUAUUAUCAGCAGCAGCCUUCAGUGCCAACACACUAUUACCAUAAUCUCGCAAGAGUGGAAGAAGAUCCUAAUUCUUGCGUUAUUUGUUAAUUCAUCUCCAGUAUUUCAUAUCAAUUCAAUUUAUUCAUUUUUGUAAAAUGCUGAAGUUCAGAAGGUGAAAUUUCACGUAUGGGAAAAUAUUGUUUGUCGUUAAAAAUCAUUCGCGGAUUUAACAUAUAAACUCUGUGAUCAGGUGCUGAUGUGUGAUAUUAGAUGCCAUCAACAUUGUUCAACAUAAAUCACAAUUCAGAUUACAACUUGAUUAACCAGGAAUCUCAACGAAUUUCUGGAAUGGAGAUCAUACGAAUACAAUAGGAGUCUCUCGUGCAAAUGCCAAACUUCUUGUUCAGUAUCUUAUCCGCACCAGUGAACGGUCUUAUAGUCAUGCUGCAUUGAUGUUGUUAGUAGAAUUAGGUUCACAGCAGACGUAUGUUGCAGUACGAUUUUACAGAUAAUAAGCUCAAAAAGAAGAAAACCCUGCUUAAUUCUUACAAAAUUGGUUGGAUUAAGGCCAAAAUUCGGUAGGAAUGAUCAUUUCCUGUGCCUCAAUCGUUCAUAUUUCAGUGAUCCGAAAACUAUUACUUUGACAAGAUUAUUUCAUCAUCCGUUUUAACCUGAAUAGAAUUUUGAGACUUAAAAUUUCGGAUGGUUAGAUCUAAUUAUACUGUCAGAUCGAUUUUUGUCAUUUAUAAGAUGAAUUUCGGGGCCGUUUGGGUGAGCUUAAAAUAAGUGCUUCUUGCUUAAAAUAAAAAAAUGGAAUAGAAGUUAGAAGUAAGUUAAGACUUAUAAGUGAUUAAAGUGUUUGGGAAAGAAGUAGAAAUCCUGAAACAAAAGCUAACAUUCCUAGCUUUUUAUAAGUGAUUCUUGACUUUUUACACAAGCGGUACGAAUAAGUGCUUAUAAUUUAUAAACCAGAAGCCGAGCUUUUAAGCUCUAAACAAACACCACCGAAAUAUACAUGCACUCUAAACCGUCAUAAACAAACAAACUAUUUUAGUUUGUCAAAAUGCAGGACUUACAAGUACACUAUUUUGCUGCUUCUUAGAAAUAGCGGGUAGGGUAACAAAAUUGAAAAUGACCAUCAUGACAACUCACAAGAGGAGAGGCACCAAACGCACCGGUCUUCCUCAUAUCCGACGUCGCUUCCCAACUUUAAUGUCAAUAAUUCAUUAGACCUGUGCUUCAAUGCGCUGCAUUUUUUAUUUUUUUUAAUCGCGAUUUAGUGAUUUUCAUCUCUGUUAAUUUUGCAGAAGGUUGUGAUGAAAAUCAAAUUGCAUGAUGAGAAAGUGAAGCAAAAAGCCAUGAAAAUUGUUUCCGGCCUAAAUGGUAAGCACGCUUACCACAUACAACCUAAAGUUGUAUUAUGUCUCACUCGGAAGUAAGGUCUAGCUUGUCUGUGCGUCGCUGAAAAGCUAAUGUUAUUUUUGUUUGUUGAAAUUUCAGGGGUGGAAUCAAUUGCAAUGGAUAUGAAAGACAAGAAAUUAACUGUGAUCGGUGAUAUAGAUCCGAUAAAAAAUAGUGGCUAAGCUGAGGAAGAUCUGUCACACUGAGAUAUUGACAGUUGGACCUGCCAAAGAACCGGAGAAGAAGAAAGAAGAGCCAAAGAAAGAUGACGGUAAAAAAGAAGAGCCAAAGAAAGAUGAUGGUAAAAAAGAAGAGGCAAAGAAAGAUGAUGGUAAAAAGAAAGAAGAAGCUGUGAAAGCUGCUGUAGUGGCACACCCUGGUUUUCAACAGGGCUAUUACGUUCCACAGCAAAUGUAUCCAGGCUAUUAUCAGCAGCAACAUGCUUAUAGUUAUCAGCAGCAGUCUUCAGUGCCAUCACACUAUUAUCAUAAUCUCGUGAGCGUGGAAGAAGAUCCUAAUUCCUGUGUUAUAUGUUAAUUCAUUUUGAUUAAACCUAACCAAACCAAACGUAUCAGUAUAUCCCGGUUUGAUCCCGAUUUGAGUAGUGUCCAAACGUAUCUGAGGAGGAUAAAAUGUACACAGACCAUGCCCCUGUUCUGAAAGAGCUGGGAGGCUCGUCUUGAUUGUUUCAUAUUAAUUGAAUUUAUUCAUUUUUGUGAUGAAAUAAAAGUUCAGAAGUUGAGAUUAGUGUACUCAUUCGCAAUUCUGCCAUAUAAACUCCGCGAAAAAAGGGGACAGGAACUGAAGUGUAAUAUUAGGUACCAUCAACAUUAUUUUAACAUACAUCACAGCUCAAAAGUAAGCAAAUUAAAUUGAUGUUAGAGCCUAAUUAACCAGGAAGAUCAAUGAACUUAUAGCACGGAGCUCAUACAAAUGUGACAGGAGCUCAGCAUGUUCAGUGCAUUGAUCUUGUUAGAUAUGAUGUCGGGUUCAUGGAAAAUAUAUGUUGCAGCAUAUGUUCGGUGAUAAUAAUUUCAGAAAGAAGAAAAGCCACAUGUUUUUUACUCAACGGGGUAGAUGAUCUGACCCCACAACCACAUGUAUUUAAUUUAAGUGAUCCGGAAAUUAAAUGGGUAGAAAAUGACACAUGUUGAUCAUUGGUGGGGCUCAAUGCUGACGUGGACAUCCACAUGGCACAAUACCGUAUGCUAACAUGGGAUCCAGACAUGGAGCUGAAUCCCAACAUUGACACGGUGUCAAGUGCCAUGUUGAAAUUUAGUUGAGGUAGGAAAAUUGACAGACUAUUGAUUUGAGUAUGAACAAGCUAAAUUAACAAAUUGUCCGGAAGAGCUUAACACCCCAAGGUCAUAGGUUAAAUUUCACUGGGAGGCCCUCAAAGUCGUAGGCUGAAUUCCACUAAAAGGCGGAAGGCACGAAAAUAAGUGGUCUGUCAUGUUUGGUGGGUACGAAUGUGCUAGCAAUUCUCUGGAUUAGUCGAGGUGCACGAAAGUUGGCUCAGACACCAAAUAACAAAAAAAAAGUUUGAAAACAAAAAGAAACAAAUAUGUGCUUUUUAAUAAUGCAAACUCUAAAAUCCUAAAAUGGGUGUCUAAAUUACAGAUAAAUAACAUGGACUCUUCAUUCACGUAAAAAAAACAAGAGUUAUGUCUUUCACCAUAAAAUAUCACAAAAGAUUGUCAUAAACCAGACCCUUUCAGUAUUUUCGUACUUUGUCAUUAUUUAAGCCUUGUACGUUUCAUAAUUUUGCGACUUCUUAGAAGGAGAGUGUAGGGCAACAAAAUUGAAACUGACCAUCAUGGCAAGUGGCAACUCACAAGAGGAGAAAGACACUCCACUGCCAGGCCCAGACGUCAUCGUUCCAUUGCUCUACGACGUCGUUUUCUUACUUAAAUAACGCCAAUAAUACAUCAAACCUCUACCUUUCAGCACUUGGGUGGAAAAUUCCAUUUUCUUGUCAUACAACUCGCAUCUAUGAAAAUUAAAAAAAAAAAUUGACUAUCUACAGCAGUUGACUAUCUUGACUCUUCCUAUCUACCUUGUAUUAUAAAAACCCCAUUUAGAUUCUUCACAUUUCAUUAAGUUAUUUAAGCUUCUCCUCACUCUUCUCCAAGUGUCUGCUGCCUGAGUAUUAGAAUAUUCAUUUUCUUCACUUUGAAAUUUUGCUAGAAUUUGUAGCACUCAAAUCAAAUCUCACUACUUCACCAACAAUAACAUGAAGGUUAGUGUCUGCUUUUGUGUGUGCUUAAGUUUUGUUCAACAUGCUACAUUUUUUUAUUAUUUUUAAUCGCGGUUUAAUGAAUUUAAUCUUUGUUAAUAUUGCAGAAGGUUGUGAUGAAAAUUGAAUUGCAUGAUGAGAAAGUGAAGCAAAAAGCCAUGAAACUUGUUUCUGGCCUCAAUGGUAAGCACACACACCACAUCAAAUUUUGUAGCAUAUCGUAGGUACCAGUAUGUCUCACUCAGAAGUAGGGUCUGAAGUCUGAACAAGUAUAAAAAUACUCUGCUAAAAAGCUAAUGUUAUUUGUUUUUGUUGAAAUUUCAGGGGUGGAAUCAAUCGCAAUGGAAAUGAAAGACAAGAAACUAACUGUGAUCGGAGAUAUUGAUCCAAUAAAAAUAGCGGCCAAACUCAGGAAGCUCUGUCACACGGAGAUAUUGACAGUUGGACCUGCCAAAGAACCAGAGAAGAAAAAGGAAGAGCCAAAGAAAGACGACGGUAAAAAAGAAGAGGCAAAGAAAGAUGACAGUAAAAAGAAAGAAGAAGCUGUAAAAGCUGCUGUAGUGGCAUUCCCUGGUUUUCAACAGGGUUAUUAUGCUCCCCAGCAAAUGUACCCAGCCUAUUAUCAGCAGCAGCCUUCAGCGCCAACACACUAUUACCAUAAUCUCGCGAGUGUGGAAGAAGAUCCUAAUGCUUGCGUUAUUUGUUAAUUC
rnacentral:lncRNA from 1 species